UACGUAGGGGGCUAGCGUUGUCCGGAAUCAUUGGGCGUAAAGCGCGUGUAGGCGGUCCGAUUAGUCGGCUGUGAAAGUCAAGGGCUCAACCCUUGAAUGCCGGUCGAUACUGUCGGACUAGAGCUCGGAAGAGGCAAGUGGAAUUCCCGGUGUAGCGGUGAAAUGCGCAGAUAUCGGGAGGAACACCAAUGGCGAAGGCAGCUCGCUGGGACGUUACUGACGCUGAGACGCGAAAGCGUGGGGAGCAAACAGG
rnacentral:rRNA from 1 species